rnacentral:rRNA from 1 species
GACGAACGCUGGCGGCGUGCUUAACACAUGCAAGUCGAGCGGUAAGGCCCUUCGGGUACGACGAGCGGCGAACGGGUGAGUAACACGUGGGUGACCUGCCCUUAGCUCUGGGAUAAGCCUGGGAAACUGGGUCUAAUACCGGAUAUGACCUCAUGACGCAUGUUGUGGGGUGGAAAGCCUUGUGCGGCUAGGGAUGGGCCCGCGGCCUAUCAGCUUGUUGGUGGGGUGAUGGCCACCAAGGCGACGACGGGUAGCCGGCCUGAGAGGGCGACCGGCCACACUGGGACUGAGACACGGCCCAGACUCCUACGGGAGGGCAGCAGUGGGGAAUCUUGCGCAAUGGGCGAAAGCCUGACGCAGUGACGCCGCGUGAGGGAUGACGGCCUGGUUGUAA